rnacentral:lncRNA from 1 species
AGUGCCAACAUUGCUUUGUCUCUCGCUGGAGAAGCCUGUGAGAACGAGGAUGGGCAAAGUGUCAGGCUCUUGGUGCAGCUGAAAAUCCUUUGAGAUGGAAGAAAUGGCUGGAACAAAGGGGCAGAGGAACAAAAAGCCCUGAACUGCUUCGCCCCUGCCUCGUGGGGUCUUUAUCAUCUUAAACCUUGGGAUUUGGGCUUUGAUCAACUCGGCCUUCCUGGGCCUCGGGGAGAGAGACGGACUGCCUCCGGGUGCUCAUGACCUUUCCAGCAGUAAGCCAAUAAUGUAUGACUCCUGCGUUGCCGUUGCUCGUUUGAGGCUCCCAUGACCAGAUCAUUGAACCAUUCUAGAGACUUCAAAUCCAUUGAGAUGGGAUUAAUGCCUUUGCCUACUCAGGCAGAGGACAGACUGACCAUUGCAAGUGUUCAUCAGCAUUUUCCUGCUCUUAGACGGAAAGGCCAAGGCCACCCCAAGCAUGCUGAAAUUAAUGGGCCAUCGUCAGGAAGGAGUUCACAACUGUAUAUGGAGCCAGAACAAAUGGAGAGACCUCGUUCAGUCGAUGGAUGGUAGCAACAAGG